rnacentral:misc_RNA from 1 species
CUUGUUCAAAGACCUUACUUGCAUUCUGAUGAAAGUACCAUUCAGGAAUCCAUUUUGCAAUGUGGGAUCUUUUUGUUCCUCCAAACCUCACAAUAAGCAUAGAUUUUCCUUGUCCAGUUGGUCUGCAAAGGAAGAGGCCUGUGAAGUACUGCGUCACUCCAUUCUCAUCAAUGAUUUCUCUAUUAUUUUGAAGAACACACGGUGCUUCAAACCGUAGGAAGUUUA